CUCGUACUCCCUUCGUCCGAAAAUACUUGUUAUGAAAAUGAAUAAAAAAAGAUGUAUCUAGAACUGAAAUACAUCUAGAUACAUUUUCUUUUAUCCAUUUUGAUGACAAAUAUUUUUGGACGGAAGAAGUAAAAA
rfam:Triticum urartu cultivar G1812 contig1119023, whole genome shotgun sequence.